AAAAUUCUCUGGAUAGGUCAUCUUUUUUAGAUUAAAACCCAGUCUUAUUUACAUGUCAACCCAGCAAUUUAUCCAAGUUCCCUUUUGAUUAUCCCAUGAAUCAGCAUCUCAUAAGCCCAACCCCCUGAUUCUUGGGAGAUUGGAAGCACUUUUCUCAACAUUGCAAAACAAUUCAGACAUCUGCCUGCUCCUGUUAAGCAUAGACAAUAAGCUAGCUGUGUGGAACCUCAUUCUGAGAUUGCCAUUCCUACCACAACCAGGCCUAACCUUGCUCUGUCCCAAGCAGACCCUGAACUCAUGAAUCUUCCUGCCCUUGUAAGCAGAAACAAAAAACUAAGCUGGGUGGUAUCUUCUUCCAUUACUCCUCCCUAAAUCUUUUUAUGUCUUCCAUAGUAUCUUCUGACAAGUUGUCUUUGAGUGCAGCUGCUUUUGUUUUUCUAGAUUUGUGAAGCCACUCAUGUAAUUCAUAUUGCCUUCUUAUAUUUUGCAUUGCUGAGAAAUUCUAUAUCUUUGGACUCAUGUCUUCAGGGUUGUUUCCCAUAGCCUUAAAGACUGUCCUGCUGGUCUUAGUAUUUACCAUUUUGCUGAGACAUUAGCUACACCUUUGACUCCUGGUUAAUUAUCAUGGAGUCAUUAAAAAUUAACAGAGAGGACAUUCCUUGAAGGAGGAACAUAUAUGUACAUUAUUAUACAAGCAAGCCUUAUGACCACAGCAGCCAUCAACACUUAUGGAGCCACAUGCUGUCCCUGUUUCAGGGAUGGGAACCGUGUCAGCCCAACCACAGCAACUUGUCUUAUUUCUGCCCACCUUCUGUCUCCCUCUGACUUGUCCCUCCCACUGUACUGCCUGCAGAAAAGAGCCAGCCUUUCAGAGAUAUCAACUGGGUUUCUUCCAACCCAAUAGGAGGAACAGGCAAGACCUCAGAGACAACCCCACUCUGACUGUCAGAAUGCACACAAAAACCCAAAGUCUACAACCAUAAUGUAUGCUGUGAACCUAAUACAGACUGCUUCUGGCUCCAUGAUUCCCGCUUCAGUCUCUGUGAAACACCAUAUGAUCCCUGCUUAAAUGAUUCCUCAGGCAGUUCUUUUGCAGUGUCCUCAACCCAUCUUGUUCUUAGAAUACUUUUUCCUUCUCUUCUGCAGGAUUCCCCAAGUUCCAAGGAAAAAACCUGAUGGAGACUUCCAACCUGGGUGCUCUGACUAAUGUUUGGCUGUGGGUUUGUACCUCCAUUUUCCACCAGCUUUCAGAGAAAGUUACUCUAUUGAGUGGACUAGGCAUGUAUCUCUUAGAAUACUAUGAUGGUGAAUAGGUAUGGCCCUCAUAGACUCAUGUGAUUGAAUUCUUGUCCCAUAAAGAGUGACACUAUUAGGAGAUGUGGGCUUUUGGGUUUCCUUGUUGUAGGAUGUGUGUCAUUGUGGGAGUGGGCUUUGAAUUCUGUACUCAAGCUAUGCCUAGAAACAAAAACUCCUGUUCAGUUUUACCAAUGAGGACUCAGGAACCAGAUAUCAUUGUAAAGCCUGCUAGCUCAAAGAAUCAAAGAAUUCACCCAACUGACCUUACUUCUCCACUGACAUCCCAGAUGGAAAAAGCUCUUUUGUUCCUUUUCCACCCUGUCUUAAAUACACUUCAAAAUUCUGCCUUUCUGUUUAUUUAUGUUCACUCCCUGCUAGCUUGUUGCUUGUUCUGUCUCUUCACUUAUGGUUGUAUUUAUUUGACUCUUGAAUUAAAGGUGUGUACUAGGGCUAAGCCACAAUACCAAAAGGGUUUUCCAGUUCACAAUCUUGGGGUUCAUAAUGUGAUAAAAUAUCCUGCAACAUUCCCACCUUUUAUCUAAAUAAAAGACUCUUUCUCUAACAUCAAUGAACUACAUAGUAUAUGGUAAGUAUUACGUUCAAAAUGACCAGUCCAUUUCUAUUUGCUAACUUUGAAGAACAUAGUCUGUCCUCUAUUAUUGUGAGUUCAACAUUUUGUAUCUAAAUAACAUUUUAUCAUAACUUCAUUUACCAACCUAAAAACAUAUUUUUGUGCCUUAAAACAUCAACUUAAGCUUAAUUAUGAGACUAUAGCUAACUGGUCUUUAACCCAUUAUAUACCUGAGAAGGGAAAUAUUUCCUGAAUAAACAGGAAGUGGAGAGCAAGCAGCUUCCAAACUAUAGAAAUGUUAGGGACAUCUGGCAGCUUGGCAGUCUCCAAAAAUUCCCCUGCAGCAUUGGACUAUUGGCCCAGAAUACCUUACAGAUUUCUCUGUGAACAAGAUAUAUAAAGGAUUUCUCUAUCUUGUCCUGGGAGAGUUCAGCAGUCUAAGUUGUGUCCUGCUUGUCCACAGUUUAGACAGUAUCCGAUCAGCAGUUGAGCCAAUGGUAGCAUGCCACAUUUGCAGCAAACUCCAUUAGGAGGUCCCUGAUGCUCAUCAUCAUCUUCAAAGUAGUACAGGGGUGCUACCAGGAGUUGAUCUUUCUAAUUGUCAAAAAUUAAUAAAAUAUCUUUUAACGCCAUAUUCUACAGAUUUCUAAUGUUUCUGAAGACCAUCUAACAGUUUCUGUAUAUUUGAAUAAGUAAAUGUUGUUUAUCUUUAGCUGUUUACUAUCUCAUUGACAUAGAAAAUAUCUAUGAUUAACUGAACUAGUACCUAACAAAUCCACAAGUGUGAAUGACUUAAGAGGACUGAAUUAUCUAGAGUGGGGCCGACUCCAUGACAGGCUGCAAAUUGGCAAUUUGUGAUACUAGGACUACAUUUUUCUUUUCCAGAUUAGAACAUGGAAACCAGAACCUAUGAUCAUCCAACCACAGCCAUGAGCCAAUCUGAGGACACUUUGUCAUCUGGCCUGAAGUAAGCAUAGGUACCUAAAAUGAUUAAGCAAAUCCCAUGGGAAGUCUCCAAAGCCUAACCAAUUGUAGAAUCAGUUACACCUGUAGAAAUAGAGCUAAUCAAUCAAGGUUAAAGGGCACAGAACCCUUCCUGGAAUUCCUCUAACUGACAAUCAAAGCUGGGCCUGUGAGUCUACUAAGGGUCUCCAUUCCCAAAUGCAGAGACCCCUGCAUGUAGGAAAUUCUUCUGAAUAAAUGCUCUUUGCUUUUGCAUACU
rnacentral:lncRNA from 1 species